AAGGAGGACAGCAAACGGACCUUAUAACCCCGCGCCUCUGCUCCAAAACCCUAAAAUUGAAAUAAUAAAACCCCCAAAACCAAAACUCCAAUUUAUCCACAAAGCUUGCCUGCUUCAUGUAGCAGCCAUUCUAACUAUCCCUAGGGUUUUCAACUCAUCGUCCUUUUAAUUCUUCAUCCCUUGACAUGGACCACAUAACUUCAGCGAUCGGCAAAAUCAAGGGCUUCGCCAAGAAAUCGGCCGAGCGCUUCGUCAAUGGCGGCACCCCAAAGUGCCCCAUCUCCUCCGACCACGACCCUAUUGAGAUAUUAAAGCGUUUACAGCGAGAAGCAUUCUCUGACCUGAUGAAACUGAGGGAGCGACAGGAGAAAACUGAACGGAUCCUUUCCUACUAUAAAACUAGCAAAGGAGGCCCAUUCCAUGAGGCCAGCACCCAUAUGGAGGGAAUAAUUGAUUUGGUUGGGGCUUUACUGUUUAUGUGGGAUGAUGAUCAGUUGGCUUAUAAUGCCUUGGAUACAGCAGGAACAAGAACAGGCGUUGAUUUGAGAUUUAUUUUUAAGACAGCUGUAAGACAGAAAGAUCUACUGGUAGCAGAGUUUGCUGCUAGUCCGAACAGUGUGAUCAACCAUGGUAAUAUCUAUCGAAGUCCUCUAGCAUUGGAUAAGCUGAUGUAUUUGGCAAAUUUAAAUCACUGGCUGUCUGUGGCUUUGUCUCCCUUGGGGGCUCAAUGCAAUGAAUAUGGACCUGCUUCAAAUUUUGAGCAGGGUCGGCGCGUGGGUAAAGCCUCUUCAUUUUUGCCCCCUUCAUUCAAUCAACAUUACAAUUGUGGUGCUGGGAUCAAGGUCCACGGAUCAAAUAUUGCAGCUUCUAUAGCUGAGCUGGUUUCUGGAAUGCAAACACAACCUGAUGCUUCUUUUGGUAGGAGCUUGAGCACUUUUGGCCAAGUUAGCUACCAACCAUUUGAAGAAACAAGGUUCACAUUAUCAUGUUUAAUGCAAAUGCAUAAGCCACUGUCCUAUCUUUUUAAGUUUGGUACCCUUGCUAUACCAACGGGCCACUUGAAACAGCAAAACUCCGAGGUACAAGGGCAAGAAUCUUCUUCUGCUCGUAGUAAAAAGGCAGAUGGCAUCUCAUCAGGAUCCAUCGCGCUGAUGUUAGACUCACAAUUAGAUGAAAGUACCAAUCUUAGUGGUUGGAUUGAGUUGCAGAAGUCAAGCAAGUUAUUGCAGUGGGGUGCCUCUUUAUCUGAUAUUCCAGAGGAUGAACUAGGAUGGGGAUUAAGAAUGGGAGGAAAGAUUGGAGGUCAUCUCAAUCAGCUUCAGUUGGAAGGGUUUCUUAAUUUUAAUUUUGAUAAGAGAUUUAAUUUGCAACCGGGCCUUUUCUAUGCAACGGACGGGAGGAAACAUUCUCCUGCAUUGGUGUUCCGCUCAAGCUGGCUCAUGUAAUCAACUGAUGUUGGAGGAAACAAGUUAACUUACAUUUGAUAUAUAAGUCUAUCAGAAGGAGGUUUGCUGUUGCAGGUAAAUCACUCCGGGUCUAUCUACAACAAUAGAAUUACAGCGGGACGUCCACAACUGGGCAUAUUACAGGGGGUCUAUCUCAAUGAACCAUUAUUUCAGUGCUUUUGAUUACAGCUGCAGUUCCUGUACCCUUUACUGUAAUUUUUGUGCGUUUUCGCUUGUUCAUUGACAUUCCAUAUUUUUCUUUUUUUACAAACUCUUUGAAGAAACAUUACAGGGUUUACUUUAUAUAGAGCACAUCACGUAUCCCUGUGCAUAUCAGGCAGCCCAGCGGUCAGCUUACUGACUGAUAUUCACACAGCAUCAUGGGGUACGGUUUGAUGGAUCUGAUGCAGGUCCUCAUUCUGAUGGUUGAAUUCCAUAAAGCAGCGUCUUAUUUGCAGGCCAUUGAUAUUUGAAACCUUUUUCAUCUGCUGUUUAUGAUUUGUAUUACACGCCUACGGACCUUUUUUAGAAAAGAACUUGAUCGGUAUUGUAGUUCAAAUUUGAACGUCCGAUCCUUGUGCUUAAAGCAUCAUCACUCUCUCGCCAUAAGCUCAUCAUGACUUUGUUCAUACCGGCAUCGGUCCUUUGUAUGCAUAAUCACGCGUUCGGUGUUCAGGGAAAACACUGCAAUUGGCUGAGUUCCGAAACAUAGAAGACCGGUACGU